rnacentral:ncRNA from 1 species
UCUUAUCCCUGACUCCUUGGCCAGUGUCAGGUAGGUAGUUUGAUUGGGACAGUUCAAACUGUCCUGUCAAACCCUAACACAGGUGUCCUACGAGCUCAGGGAGGACAGAAACCUCCCACAGAGCAGAAGAGCAAGGUUUGAUCCUGACUUUCGGUACCAACACUCCAUGGGAGCAGAGACUCACAAUCCUUCUGACUCUUUGGGUUCCAGGAG